CGCGCAGGCGGUCCUUUAAGUCUGAUGUGAAAGCCCACGGCUCAACCGUGGAGGGUCAUUGGAAACUGGGGGACUUGAGUGCAGGAGAGGAGAGCGGAAUUCCACGUGUAGCGGUGAAAUGCGUAGAGAUGUGGAGGAACACCAGUGGCGAAGGCGGCUCUCUGGCCUGUAACUGACGCUGAGGCGCGAAAGCGUGGGGAGCAAACAGGAUUAGAUACCCUGGUAGUCCACGCCGUAAACGAUGAGUGCUAAGUGUUAGAGGGGUCACACCCUUUAGUGCUGUAGCUAACGCGAUAAGCACUCCGCCUGGGGAGUACGGCCGCAAGGCUGAA
rnacentral:rRNA from 1 species